UGGGGAAUCUUGCGCAAUGGGCGAAAGCCUGACGCAGCAACGCCGCGUGCGGGAAGAAGGCCUUCGGGCUGUAAACCGCUUUCAGCAGGGACGAAACUGACGGUACCUGUAGAAGAAGGAGCGGCCAACUAUGUGCCAGCAGCCGCGGUGACACAUAGGCUCCAAGCGUUGUCCGGAUUCAUUGGGCGUAAAGAGCUCGUAGGCGGUCGUGUAAGUCGGGUGUGAAAACUCUGGGCUCAACCCAGAGACGCCACCCGAUACUGCUCUGACUCGAGUUCGGCAGGGGAGUGGGGAAUUCCUCGUGUAGCGGUGAAAUGCGCAGAUAUGAGGAGGAACACCGGUGGCGAAGGCGCCACUCUGGGCCGAUACUGACGCUGAGGAGCGAAAGCACGGGUAGCAA
rnacentral:rRNA from 1 species